GACGAACCGUGCGAACGUUGUUCGGAAUCACUGGGCUUAAAGGGCGCGUAGGCGGGCUUGCAAGUCUGUGGUGAAAUCCUCCAGCCCAACUGGAGAACGGCCGUGGAUACUGCGAGUCUCGAGGGAGGUAGGGGCGUGCGGAACAGAUGGUGGAGCGGUGAAAUGCGUUGAUAUCAUCUGGAACUCCGGUGGCGAAGGCGGCACGCUGGACCUCAUCUGACGCUGAGGCGAGAAAGCUAGGGGAGCAAACGGG
rnacentral:rRNA from 1 species